UACGUAGGGUCCGAGCGUUGUCCGGAGUUACUGGGCGUAAAGCGCGCGCAGGCGGCGGUGUAAGCCUGGCGUGAAAGCCCCAGGCUCAACCUGGGAGGGUCGUCGUGGACUGCACCGCUUGAGGGCGGUAGGGGCUGGUGGAAUGCCUGGUGUAGUGGUGAAAUGCGUAGAGAUCAGGCGGAACACCCGUGGCGAAGGCGGCCAGCUGGGCCGUCCCUGACGCUGAGGCGCGAAGGCGUGGGGAGCGAACGGG
rnacentral:rRNA from 1 species